GUGGGUGUAGUUCAGCUGGAUAGAGCGCCAGAUUGUGGCUCUGGAAGUCGUGGGUUCAAAUCCCACCACUCACCCCA
rnacentral:tRNA from 1 species